rnacentral:tRNA from 1 species
GCCGAAGUGGUGGAACUGGUAGACACGCCGGACUCAAAAUCCGGUGGAGGUUAUACUUCGUGAGGGUUCGAGUCCCUCCUUCGGUA